GCGGUGGAGCAUGUGGUUUAAUUCGACGCAACGCGAAGAACCUUACCUGGGCUCGAAAUGUUAUGGACCGGAGUGGAAACAUUCCUUCCCCGCAAGGGGCCGUAAUAUAGGUGCUGCAUGGCUGUCGUCAGCUCGUGUCGUGAGAUGUUGGGUUAAGUCCCGCAACGAGCGCAACCCUUAUCUUCAGUUGCUACCAUUUAGUUGAGCACUCUGACGAAACCGCCUCGGAUAACGGGGAGGAAGGUGGGGAUGACGUCAAGUCCUCAUGGCCUUUAUGUCCAGGGCUACACACGUGCUACAAUGGCCGGUACAAACCGUCGCAAACCCGUGAGGGGGAGCUAAUCGGAAAAAGCCGGCCUCAGUUCGGAUCGUAGUCUGCAACUCGACUACGUGAAGCUGGAAUCGCUAGUAAUCGCGGAUCAGAAUGCCGCGGUGAAUACGUUCCCGGGC
rnacentral:rRNA from 1 species